rnacentral:rRNA from 1 species
CAAGUCGAGCGAGGCGGCCCGCAAGGGUCAGUCGAGCGGCGAACGGGUGAGUAACGCGUGGAUUAUCUACCCUGAGGUGGGGGAUAACCCGGGGAAACUCGGGCUAAUACCGCAUGAUACCGUGAGGUCAAAGGGGGCUCGCAAGGGCUCUCGCCAUAGGAGGAGUCCGCGUCCGAUUAGCUAGUUGGUAGGGUAAUGGCCUACCAAGGCAACGAUCGGUAGCCGGCCUGAGAGGGUGAUCGGCCACACUGGAACUGAGACACGGUCCAGACUCCUACGGGAGGCAGCAGUGGGGAAUUUUGCGCAAUGGGCUAACGCCUGACGCAGCAACGCCGCGUGGAGGAUGAAGGUCUUUGGAUUGUAAACUCCUGUCGACCGGGAAAAAGCGACUCGACCUAAUACGUCGGGGAGUUGAUUGUACCGGUGGAGGAAGCCCCGGCUAACUCUGUGCCAGCAGCCGCGGUAAUACAGAGGGGGCAAGCGUUAUUCGGAAUUAUUGGGCGUAAAGGGCGCGUAGGCGGCCUGGCAAGUGGAAGGUGAAAUCCCUCGGCUUAACCGAGGAACUGCCCUCCAAACUGCUUGGCUUGAGUCCGGGAGAGGUGAGUGGAAUUCCCAGUGUAGCGGUGAAAUGCGUAGAUAUUGGGAGGAACACCAGUGGCGAAGGCGGCUCACUGGACCGGAACUGACGCUGAGGCGCGAAAGCGUGGGGAGCAAACGGGAUUAGAUACCCCGGUAGUCCACGCCGUAAACGAUGAGUGCUUGGUGUAGCGGGUAUCGACCCCUGCUGUGCCGAAGUCAACACAUUAAGCACUCCGCCUGGGGAAGUACGGUCGC